CCCCUCUCACGCCCUCACCCCCCUUGGGGAAACGUGCAUCAUUAACCUUCUGAAUGCUUGAAAAACACUGGGCAAAAUAUUUGCCUUCACAGCGGCCAACGCAGACUGUACGCACUGCACAAAGCAAGGCACAUACCAAGCGAGGUUAAGCCCUAAAACUCAGAAUUGUUUCUAAACCCGUCAAUAUCUUAUACAUGAUUGUACUUAGAAAGAGCUCUCCCACUUAAGGAAAGAGUGUGAGGGCUGGGAGAGUUAAUCUAAGCUCUGAAAUACUGUAUGGUUAAAAGCCUCUUUCAUGUAACCGUGUUUAUGAACUGAGCUCAGAAUUCUUAAAAAUCCAAAUUAUUACAAAGGAGAGGGUCUGGUGUUUGGCAAAACCACAAAACCUGCCAUUCUCUUGCCUGCUUUGUUUUACAUUGGGUUUCAGAAAAGGGCUCACAGCACAAGGGAGUGCCUAGAAUACGCUGGAAUCACUUAAAGAAAAUUCCCAAAGAUUUGAGAUUCUCUUAUCAAACUUGCUUGCACUUGAAUGGUUGGUUUGUUUGUUUUGUUUGUUUGUUUGUUUGUUUUGGUACUCUGUCUUAUUCUUCGUCAACGAUUACGUUUAAAUUGCGCCACAAAUCUUCAAAAACACAGCUUCCUUCUGCAGGAUCCCCCCAGAAUAGGUUGGUCUUAACCCCAGGUAGAAAAUGUCAAUGCCAAGUCAUUUGAUGCGUCACCUUAGCCCAAAACACUGGCCUCAUCUCCUUUUCCAAAACCCAGUUUCUCACAAAUAACCGCAAUAACUAAGACGUCUCCAGCCUAGCUGAGGCCUCGGUUUAACCAGGGUCUGGAUGAGGAAGGCAGACACAUCUCCACACAGAGCGAUCAGGGCCUGUAGUGCUGGAGGCCACAGGCAGCGCUGGGGGGGUGCCGAAGGCGGGGCUGGGCCCUGCUGUGCCUGCCUGCCAUGCUGGUCGUGCCAGGCCUGCUAGGCCUGUGGACACUGGAGCAUACAGCGUUAAGCUACCUUGUGGGAAGGACCUUUGUGGCCUUACUGAGUUGCCAUGAGCAUAUUUUAAGUCAAAGUGUUGUGGGUGCCGAGCAGUGUGGCAGUGGCCUGCAACACCACUCUCUGGUACUGGGUAGCUAUGGAGUGCUGAAGAGGGAAGGAUGA
rnacentral:lncRNA from 1 species